rnacentral:rRNA from 1 species
GACGAACGCUGGCGGCGUGCUUAACACAUGCAAGUCGAACGCUGAAGACCUGGCUUUUGUUGGGUUUGAUGAGUGGCGAACGGGUGAGUAACACGUGAGUAACCUGCCCUCUUCUUUGGGAUAACGCCCGGAAACGGGUGCUAAUACUGGAUAUUCACUGAUCUUCGCAUGGGGGUUGGUGGAAAGGUUUGUUCUGGUGGGGGAUGGGCUCGCGGCCUAUCAGCUUGUUGGUGGGGUGAUGGCCUACCAAGGCUUUGACGGGUAGCCGGCCUGAGAGGGUGACCGGUCACAUUGGGACUGAGAUACGGCCCAGACUCCUACGGGAGGCAGCAGUGGGGAAUAUUGCACAAUGGGCGAAAGCCUGAUGCAGCGACGCCGCGUGAGGGAUGGAGGCCUUCGGGUUGUAAACCUCUUUCGCUCAUGGUCAAGCCGCAACUGUGGGUUGUGGUGAGGGUAGUGGGUAAAGAAGCGCCGGCUAACUACGUG